ACGGCUACCUUGUUACGACUUCACCCCAGUCAUCGGCCACACCGUGGUAAGCGUCCUCCUUGCGGUUAGACUACCUACUUCUGGUGCAACAAAUUCCCAUGGUGUGACGGGCGGUGUGUACAAGGCCCGGGAACGUAUUCACCGCGGCAUUCUGAUCCGCGAUUACUAGCGAUUCCGACUUCAUGGAGUCGAGUUGCAGACUCCAAUCCGGACUACGAUCGGCUUUUUGAGAUUAGCAUCCUAUCGCUAGGUAGCAACCCUUUGUACCGACCAUUGUAGCACGUGUGUAGCCCUGGUCGUAAGGGCCAUGAUGACUUGACGUCGUCCCCGCCUUCCUCCAGUUUGUCACUGGCAGUAUCCUUAAAGUUCCCGGCUUAACCCGCUGGCAAAUAA
rnacentral:rRNA from 1 species